GACGAACGCUGGCGGCGUGCUUAACACAUGCAAGUCGAACGGAAAGGCCCUGCUUUUGUGGGGUGCUCGAGUGGCGAACGGGUGAGUAACAUGUGAGUAACCUGCCCUUGACUUUGGGAUAACUUCAGGAAACUGGGGCUAAUACCGGAUAGGAGCUCCUGCUGCAUGGUGGGGGUUGGAAAGUUUCGGCGGUUGGGGAUGGACUCGCGGCUUAUCAGCUUGUUGGUGGGGUAGUGGCUUACCAAGGCUUUGACGGGUAGCAGGCCUGAGAGGGUGACCGGCCACAUUGGGACUGAGAUACGACCCAGACUCCUACGGGAGGCAGCAGUGGGGAAUAUUGCACAAUGGGCGGAAGCCUGAUGCAGCAACGCCGCGUGCGGGAUGACGGCCUUCGGGUUGUAAACCGCUUUCGCCUGUGACGAAGCGUGAGUGACGGUAAUGGGUAAAGAAGCACCGGCUAACUACGUG
rnacentral:rRNA from 1 species